AUCCUACGGGGCGCAGCAGUGGGGAAUAUUGCGCAAUGGGGGAAACCCUGACGCAGCAACGCCGCGUGCAGGAAGAAGGUCUUCGGAUUGUAAACUGUUGUCGCAGGGGAAGAAGACAGUGACGGUACCCUGUGAGAAAGUCACGGCUAACUACGUGCCAGCAGCCGCGGUAAUACGGAGGAUCCGAGCGUUAUCCGGAUUUAUUGGGUUUAAAGGGUGCGUAGGCGGGCUGUUAAGUCAGCGGUAACAGCCCGGGGCUCAACCCCGGCGAGCCGUUGAAACUGGCUGUCUUGAGAUGUCGAGAG
rnacentral:rRNA from 1 species